UACGGGGGGAGCAAGCGUUGUUCGGACUUACUGGGCGUAAAGGGCGCGUAGGCGGCCACCGCAAGUCGGUUGUGAAAUCUCUGGGCUUAACCCAGAAAGGUCAACCGAUACUGCGGGGCUAGAGUGCAGAAGGGGCAACUGGAAUUCUCGGUGUAGCGGUGAAAUGCGUAGAUAUCGAGAGGAACACCUGCGGCGAAGGCGGGUUGCUGGGCUGACACUGACGCUGAAGCGCGAAAGCUAGGGGAGCGAACGGG
rnacentral:rRNA from 1 species